UUCCUUGAACCGCAUGGUUCAAGGAUGAAAGACGGUUUCGGCUGUCACUUACAGAUGGACCCGCGGCGCAUUAGCUAGUUGGUGGGGUAAUGGCUCACCAAGGCAGACGAUGCGUAGCACUCGACCUGAGAGGGUGAUCGGCCACACUGGGACUGAGACACGGCCCAGACUCCUACGGGAGGCAGCAGUAGGGAAUCUUCCGCAAUGGACGAAAGUCUGACGGAGCAACGCCGCGUGAGUGAUGAAGGUUUUCGGAUCGUAAAGCUCUGUUGUUAGGCAGAAGAACAAGUGCGAGAGUAACUGCUCGCACCUUGACGGUACCUAACCAGAAAGCCACGGCUAACUACGUGCCAGCAGCCGCGGUAAUACGUAGGUGGCAAGCGUUCAGUCCGGAAUUAUUGGGCGUAAAGGGCUCGCAGGCCGGGGUUUCUUAAGUCUGAUGUGAAAGCCCCCGGCUCAACCGGGGAGGGUCAUUGGAAACUGGGAAACUUGAGUGCAGAAGAGGAGAGUGGAAUUCCACGUGUAGCGGUGAAAUGCGUAGAGAUGUGGAGGAACACCAGUGGCGAAGGCGACUCUCUGGUCUGUAACUGACGCU
rnacentral:rRNA from 1 species